rnacentral:rRNA from 1 species
UACGGAGGGUGCAAGCGUUGUUCGGAUUUACUGGGCGUAAGCGCGCGCAGGUGGGUGAACAAGUCGGAAGUGAAAUCUUGAGGCUCAACCUCGAGGCUGCUCCCGAAACUGUUCGCCUAGGGACUGGUAGAGGCUGGUAGAAUUCCCGGUGUAGCGGUGGAAUGCGUAGAGAUCGGGAAGAAUACCUGUGGCGAAGGCGGCCAGCUGGGCCAGAUCCGACACUGAGGCGCGAAAGCGUGGGGAGCAAACAGGG